CUUCUCGGGGUAACGCCGCCCCUCUGCCCGAGCUCCGGUGCGCUCCAGGUGCGGGCUGCGGCUCGAAGGAUGUUGAGAUCCGGCGGUGAAGGGUGUUCCAGAGAUGCCGCAUGCUGCGGGUGCUACGUGGAUCGCUAUGCCUUUGGAUGCGAACGGUCUGUCAUUGGUCUUGCCCGUACAAAGCAGGCUUCCCAAUGCCUGCAAAUAAGCUCUGGGGCAAAUCCUGUUCUUCGCCAUACAAUAGGAAAAGAAGAAAGUGACCUUUGGGUGUCUUGA
rnacentral:lncRNA from 1 species